GCCGCGUGAAGACAUUAAACAUAUAAUGGGAACGUGUAUGGCUGCAACAAGCAUGAUGAGUGGAAAGAAACAAUCUCGUCCACCGAAAUGGACUACAUGUUUGUGUCCUAUACAAAAAGGAAGCACCGAAUGUGGUUAUUAUGUGAUGAAAUUCAUGUGGGAAAUUGUUUCCAACAACCUAAGCAAAGGAAUG